GAGGGAAUCUUCCACAAUGGGCGAAAGCCUGAUGGAGCAACGCCGCGUGUGUGAUGAAGGGUUUCGGCUCGUAAAACACUGUUGUAAGAGAAGAAUGACAUUGAGAGUAACUGUUCAAUGUGUGACGGUAUCUUACCAGAAAGGAACGGCUAAAUACGUGCCAG
rnacentral:rRNA from 1 species